GAUGAACGCUGGCGGCGUGCCUAAUACAUGCAAGUCGAGCGAAUGGAUUAAGAGCUUGCUCUUAUGAAGUUAGCGGCGGACGGGUGAGUAACACGUGGGUAACCUGCCCAUAAGACUGGGAUAACUCCGGGAAACCGGGGCUAAUACCGGAUAACAUUUUGAACCGCAUGGUUCGAAAUUGAAAGGCGGCUUCGGCUGUCACUUAUGGAUGGACCCGCGUCGCAUUAGCUAGUUGGUGAGGUAACGGCUCACCAAGGCAACGAUGCGUAGCCGACCUGAGGGGAGGAUCGGCCACACUGGGACUGAGACACGGCCCAGACUCCUACGGGAGGCAGCAGUAGGGAAUCUUCCGCAAUGGACGAAAGUCUGACGGAGCAACGCCGCGUGAGUGAUGAAGGCUUUCGGGUCGUAAAACUCUGUUGUUAGGGAAGAACAAGUGCUAGUUGAAUAAGCUGGCACCUUGACGGUACCUAACCAGAAAGCCACGGCUAACUACGUGCCAGCAGCCGCCGUAA
rnacentral:rRNA from 1 species